AUCCAGCUGACCAGCCUCAAAUAGAACGAUAUGCGCAUCCUGGAU
rfam:Trichobilharzia regenti genome assembly, scaffold: TRE_scaffold0015018